AUACUUUUGCAGAUUGUUUGCAACCUGUAGGUCAUAUGCACACAGAUGUAUUUUAUUUACAAUGCAAACUGUUGUCAAAGGAUUGGAAGGAUAAAGUAAUUCUUUGCUGGAAAUCUACUCAAGAACUGAUUCAUCAAGGUAUUGAAGUUAAGCAGCUGGACAAGGAACUUACUACAGAGGUUAUGGAGAAAGUGGAUCUGGUUUGUGCUUUGUUUUAUAUUACAGUAGAGUUUUUUCAGAUUGACAGUAGAGUUUGUGCUUUUCUCAGAUAUUUAUUCCUAUCAUUCAUGCCCAUCACUGGUCCCUUGUUGUUUUUUCCACUACCAAACAAGAGAAAUAUAUCCUUGACUCCUACCCAUGGUGUAGUGGAGAGGUGGCCAAAGAUGUUUUAACUCAACUGCAGAAGUAUUUGAAUAAUAAACACAGCUUUGACAUGUCUAGCUACACUGAACAUGUGCCACCUGUUCAGCCUCAAAAAAACAAGUAAGUGUUCAGCUCUACUAAAUUAACUUAUCAGUAUACCUCGAUUUUUGUGUUUAUUGCUGAAUGAUUACUGCAUUUAUUUCAGUUACGAUUGUGGCUUUCAUGUUUUAUUGUAUAUUUAAGAAUUCAUGAAGGAGAAGAUGUAUAAAAUCAACAGAAAAAUGGUGUUGAAAUUCAGAAAGCAGCUUUGCAUGAAUCUUUUGUACCAUCCUUUGAACAGAAUAAAUCUUGUGGAAUUCAAAAUAAGCUAGGUAUUACAUUGAAAAGGAAACUUCCUGGUAUACUUGAUCUUACUAUUGGAGGUGAGAGCAAUAAAUCUGAGGAUACAGUGCUAACUGACACAGAGAACAGAGAUGAUAA